rnacentral:misc_RNA from 1 species
CCGAGUUUACAACUCCCAAACCCCUGUGAACAUUACCAACUGUUGCCUCGGCGGAAUUUCUGCCCCGGGCGCGUCGCAGCCCCGGACCAAGGCGCCCGCCGGAGGACCAAUUUACAAACUCUUUGUAUGUCCCUCUGCGGAUUUUUAUUAUACAUUCUGAGCUUUCUCGGCGCUCCUAGCGAGCGUUUCGAAAAUGAAUCA